rnacentral:rRNA from 1 species
CGACUUAGCCCCAGUCACUAGUUUUACCCUAGGCGGCUCCUUACGGUUACCGACUUUAGGUACACCCAGCUUCCAUGGCUUGACGGGCAGUGUGUGCAAGGUCCGGGAACGUAUUCACCGUAUCAUUGCUGAUAUACGAUUACUAGCGAUUCCAGCUUCAUGGAGUCGAGUUGCAGACUCCAAUCUGAACUGAGAGGCGUUUUUUGGGAUUAGCUUCAUAUCACUAUGUUGCAGCCCUUUGUACGCCCCAUUGUAACACGUGUGUAGAGCUGGGCAUAAAGGCCAUGAUGACUUGACAUCAUCCCCUCCUUCCUCACAUCUUACCACGGCAGUUUACCUAAAGUUCCCAGCGUUACCUGAUGGCAACUACUGAUGGGGGCUGCGCUCCUUGCAGAACUUAACACAAAACCUUCACUGGACGAGCUGACCGAAGCCAUGCAGCCCCUCAACGCAAUAGUAUUACUAAAAC